ACUCCUAUAGUUUACUUGGUUAGAACACCUGCCUUUCAAGCAGGAGAAACGGGUUCAAAACCCGUUGGGAGUGCCA
rnacentral:tRNA from 1 species